CUCUGGUUCUUAUGGAUCCAGGGCGAUAAGGAG
ncrna:Weissella cibaria L31-Firmicutes ribosomal protein leader